AUUGAACGCUGGCGGCGUGGAUUAGGCAUGCAAGUCGUGCGGAAAGGCUCCUUCGGGAGUACUCGAGCGGCGAAAGGGAGAGUAACGCGUGGAUAUCUACCCCCUGGCCUGGGAUAGCGGCGGGAAACUGCCGGUAAUACCAAAUAAUGUCUGCGGACCAAAGGUGUGAUUCCGCCGGGGGAUGAGUUCGCGUCCUAUUAGCUAGUUGGUAGGGUAACGGCCUACCAAGGCAAAGAUGGGUACCGGGUGUGAGAGCAUGGCCCGGCUCACUGGGACUGAGACACUGCCCAGACACCUACGGGUGGCUGCAGUCGAGAAGCUUCGGCAAUGGGCGCAAGCCUGACCGAGCGACGCCGCGUGCGGGAUGAAGGCCUUCGGGUUGUAAACCGCUGUCAGAGGGGAGGAAAUGCGUGGGAGUUCUCUCUUACGUUUGACCUAUCCUCAGAGGAAGUACGGGCUAAGUUCGUGCCAGCAGCCGCCGUAAAAC
rnacentral:rRNA from 1 species